AGGCUCACAUAUUGAUUUUCAAUUAAUGGAAAUUGAACUAUACUACAUAAAGAUUUAUAACUUAGAGAGAAUAAAACAAAAUUCACGAUUUCAUAGUCCAGUACAAUCUCAAAGGCAUUAAACAGUCCAAACAGCCGACUUAAUUACAAAUAAACAUGAACAUUCAAGUUGAAUAUUAAAAGCUAUAAUAAUGCUAAACAAACUUAAGUUAACAAAAGCAUUUCUUCAUCAUUGAUUCCCAGGGUGUUCAUACACUUGAAUUAAACUUCCAUAUCAUCAGAGAUAAUGAAUGUGUACUAGAAAUUUGAGAUAUAAUGAGAAAUAGGAUAAUUCAGCGACAGUAAACACCACAGCAGACCACAAUAACAAAAUCGUUGUUAAAUCGGCCCAGGAAUGGUUCAAAGCCAAGCCAAGCUAGCUGAUCUACCCAACAAUACCAAAUAACCCAGAAAUGAACCCCAAACAGCUUUGAAAAUAACUCCAGCAACUCAGCAGACCAUGAUUCAACUCAAAUGCACCAAGUUCGACUUGAAAACAAACAACUCAUGGAGAAUAACUACUAGAACUCUCAAUUACUCGAUGCAACAGUAUUUUUGGUGUUUUUUCAAUGGAAAAGUGUUAAUGGAACAAACUAACUGCCUAAAACUGAUUCCAAGACCUUCUGUAACUGAUUAAGGACCGACCGAAAUGCUCUAAGAAAAUGCUCUCUCAGACUGAUUCCAAAACUGAUUUUUAACUCUCAAAGUGAUGUCUACUCUAAAUUCCCUGAAAUUGUGUGUUCAAACUCUGAAAGUUUAUCUUAAGCUCUAAGAAAACCGACUAAAUUAGUCUGUUCUUUCACACUCUAGAAAAACUCUCCAAAUUGGUCUCUAAGACUAAUUGAAAACAGACCCUUGAAGCUCUUGAAGAACUCCCCCCUACAAUGAAAUAGUCCUCUCUGUAUUUAUACCCAAACCUUAAACCCUUUCUAGCCUUUUUUUCUUUAUAGUUGUACGUCUAGAUAUUUUAUUAUUACCCUCAUGUUUCAUUUUACUUUUCAGCUUGUAAUAUUUCUCUACUAUGUAUAUCCUUUUAGAUUUUUAUCAUUACCCUACUGUUUCUGAUUUCCCAUUUAAAAACACUCAACAGACCAACAGUCCCCCUUUAUCCUUUCAUAAUUAAACCUCUAAAGUUGUCGACAAACAGUCAUGUCCACUACCAAUUCUCUUAAACAGAAUUUCUAGGCAACCCGAACCAAAUGGUAUAAGUACACAAAAAAUGGAAUCAUCAAACAAUUAACACAUGAACAAUCAUUAAAAACACUCAACAGACCAACAGUCCCCCUUUAGCCUUUCAUGAUUAAACGUCUAAAGAUGUCGACAAACAGUCAUGUCCACUACUAAUUCUCUUAAACAGAAUUUCUAGGCAACCCGAACCAAAUGGUAUCAGUACACAAAAAGGGAUAUCAGCAAACAAUUCACACAUGAACAAUCAGGAUUGAUAUUAGAAAGAAAUAAUUAAUGAUGAAGCAUUUGAUAUUCAACCUUUGACACAAUCAACACAAACAUGGAAAUAUUACCAUGCUGAAUUCAGAUCACACACCAUUAAACACAAGUUAGCUAAUUUGACUGAACCGUAACAUGAGAAAGAAAGACUUCAAGUCUAAUGAUUCAGAUAGAAAGUGUAAACAUUAACAAUUAACUAUAGAGUUUAAUUAACUACCCAAAAAUCAGAAAACAAAACAACAGAACCAACUAAAUUGAACAGGAAAACUAUGAAAAAAUAAACUAACCUAAAGCGGAGACAUUGGGUUCAAAGCUAGUCAUAACUUUAAUCAGAAAAGAAAUGGUUCAAAACAACAAACAAGAAUUACCUGUGAAAGAAAAGGAGAAAAGGAGAAAAGGAGAAAAGGCAGAAGAGAAAAUAAAUAAAUAGAAAUCAAAAGAUAACUCACCGACUAAACUUGAAAUUACCCUUGAUAUUCCAAUUCAACCGAAACGGAUGUUAUUCAUUUUUUCUUUGUCAAGAACGAAUGAACAACAUCGGUUUUGAAAUGAGUCGACCUUCUAAUCCCGGAGACUAGAGGCUUUCACGUCAUCAGGUUCAAUGGAGAUUGAUUUUGUUUUAAAACUCAUAUUUAAAAUCCAACGAGUUCUUGUUAGAUUUGGAAGAAACUAACGAUGGAUUUGGCAAGAGGGACUCGGGUGGUUCUAUAGUGUGAAGAUGAGGGAUCUGUGGUGUUAUUGUGAGGCGAUUUGGGCCACCAGAAUCGCUGUGAGGAUUUCCGGUGGCAAAAGUCUCUGAGCUUAGAGACGAAGGGGGCAACGGGGGAUUGGCUUGGGG
rnacentral:lncRNA from 1 species